UGAUGGUAGUAGCUGAAGUUCCUUCGGACC
rnacentral:piRNA from 1 species